CUGGGGUGAGCACAUCAUUUAGAUUUCCUCACAUGAUCUUUUAAUUCACUCCCCGGCUUCUGUGGUUUCCUUCCAUGGGGAGCGAGCUCAGCCUGCUGAGACACUCCCGGCUCUUCACCUCAGUACAUCUUUAGAGGGAGAAGCAUCUGAGUGGGGAAUUGGGAGGAGAAACUGGGCAUGCACGGCCCUCCCUGUUCCCACCACCUCCUCCCCUUUGGGGGCUUCACUGUCUCACUCUAUGAGCUUUACAGGGGCUGUGAAGAUCCAGGGAUCCUGGCGGCCAGAAUUUGGAAACCAUCUACUCACCGUUCUUGUUCCUGUGAAUCAAGUGGUGAGCUGCAGCUUGGAAGAAACAAAAAGUGAUGCAACAUCUGGUGGAGGCAAACCAGUGUUACAACCCAUUGGAAUGGCUGACAGCAAUCAAACUCCAAACAGUGCUGCAGACCAAACCACGCAUGAACACGCCUUUCUUCCGAGGACCCUUAGAUCAACCCCAGGAGGAGCCCUAAGUGCUGUUCCCCACAUUACGCCCCUUUUCAGUAGGAAGUAGCCAGGAAGAGUCAUCACCGAACACCCCCUAACACCAGUUAGUGUUACCACUCCAGAGGGAGGAAUGAUAUAGGAGUUAAGAAGAAAUCACUUAGGCAAAUAGUAAGGGUAUGUGAGUCCUCAGUAACGCUUUUCUAUUUAAUGAAAAGCAGCUGCAAACCAUUUUCUAACAAAGAACCGCCUGUAAAGUCUAGCUGCAGACAUAGCUGGGAGCUUGCACAGGUGAAUGCCAGCAAGAACUAGGAACUAGACAUGUUCAAGAUGGUGGCCCCACCUUCCCUUCUCUGUCAGCCACGUGUAAAGAGCAAACAAGAUGGUGGCGAUCAACUGGAAAGCCCACUUGCAUAGUAAGAUUAGGAUGGGGCAACUUGCCUUCCCCGUGUGCUAUAUAAACGUCAUACCUGAUCGAACCAAUCUGUGAGCCCAACAUAAAUCAGACACUGCCUUCUCCAGCCUGCCUAUAAAGUCUGCCCUGGCACACACUGCCUUUUCCUUUGCAGACCUUUCUCUCUCUCUCUCUCUCUCUCUCUCUCUGGCAAGGAGAGAGAAAGACUGUCUAAUAAACUUUCCACUGUUUAACCCAAAAAAAAUAUAUAAAAUUAAAUUAAUUUAAAUUAAAUUAAAAAAUAAAAAAAAAAAUAAAAUAAAUAAAAUAAAAUAUAAAAUAAAAUGCAGGAACCUGGCAGACCUCAGAGGAGCCCAGGCCUGAUCAAGGUGCUCCUUCCUGCCUCCUGUUCUUACCAGAUAACUGAUUCUCUCCGUGAUGAGAUGCACACUUCCUGGGAUCCCAUCCCCUCACAAGGAUUCCACAACUUAUCAGACCACAUGGUUGCCCUUUUCUCCCACUCACCAUCUGAGAAUCACAUGUUGUUAGCAAUCCAUCUUCCACCUACAAAAAUAAGAAAGUAACUGACACCCUCAGGUGUGGAGCCCUGUUAACCCAGAAGUCAGCAAAGAAAAAUGAUUUGCCUUCUGAUCAGGGAAUGUGGGAUAUCAGUAAGCAAGGGGUAUAGUUUCAGGUCUAGUGGUCUCCUUUUCUUAACCUCUAGCCUCACAAGCCAAUAAAACUCACAGAAAUCCUUCCCCUGCCUCAUUAACCCCUCAGUCAAGUGAGGAGGCAGUCACUCCCCACACCAAGGUAGCCUUAUGCUUUCCUGUCCUGCACUAGCACUGAGAUACUCAGAUGGUACCCAGACCUCAUCCUGCCAUUAGCCCAAGCCAGGAACAGCUCUGUCUGUGGAGAGAGUAGAAGGCAGUCAAGUGCUUGGGAUACACCGUCUCUAUUCUACAGUGUAACCUGAGAACCCCAAAAUGCCCUGAGGCAGCCCAAUCCUGCCCAUCCCUCAAAGAUGGCUUCAGUAUUCAUGUUUUAUCAUAUUAUAUAUUAUAAUUUUUUAAUUAAUAGAAAAGGAAUGUUAACACAGGUCAUCUGGAUCCAGAGCUCCAUGCUCUAAGUUUUUAAGGCUAUGAAUUUUCCUCUUAAUAUAGCUUUGACUACAUCCCUUAGUUUGCAGUUUGUACUACUUUCAUGUUAAUGAUUUUCUAAACAUUCUGUAACUUCAGCUUUGACUUAAUUCUUGACCUAAGGGUUGUUUAAAAGAGAAUUUUAAAAUCUUCAAAUGGUUUGAAGUUUGUUUAGUCUUAUGAGUCAGAAUUCUCUGAUUGCAAGGAAAAUAACCCCAAUUGACUUAAGUGAAAGAUGGGAAUUGUUAUAAGGAUAUAAGGACCUUGUGUACUCCAAGAGCAAAAAUGCAUUGAGACUCUUAAAAGGGCAUAAAUCAGCAACUGGUAAAUCAUUGGGAGCUUCUCUCUGAUCUCUGCUCGCUCCUACAUAUCUGUCCAGCCACCUGAGAGAUGAUAUUCCUAUCUCUGUGCCUCAAAUUCCAGAUUUUCAGGGAAGGAGGUCUGGCCCAUCUGGAUCAGGUGUCCAAUCUUAAGUCAAUCAGUCAAGGCCAGGGAAGUGCGAUCAUAUUGUACUAAGUUGUUGCUGAAAACCAAAAUGUGGGAGGAGUUAUGAAAGAGAAGGGACAGGGAUUCGUUAUUGUGAACAGAUUGGACACAUGAAAAGGUAUCCACUACUGUUUAGUUUUUCUUAUUUAUGUCUGGGUUUAUUACAUUGUGGACAGAAGAUGUAG
rnacentral:lncRNA from 10 species